GAUGUACCCAGGCUGUACCGGUACCCAACAAAUGAUACAGAAGAAGUACCUGAAGAGUUCAGGAGACAUGUGCUUUAUUUUCAACGAAAGAAGCUGGAGAGGAGCAGAGCCAUGUCCCACCUCAAUGCUGUUGGAUAUGCCAUACUGAUGCAGUCCAUGGAGACACAUUUGGUGACGAGGACAAGAGGUCCAAGACUUUAUGACAUCACAAAAAGAAAUCUGAUACUACCCGAUGC